rnacentral:rRNA from 1 species
UACGUAGGGGCGAGCGUUAUCCAGAAUUAUUGGGCGUAAAGGGUUCGCAGGCGGCCUUGUAAGUCAGAUGUGAAAGACAGCGGCUUAACCGUUGUAAGCAUUUGAAACUGCAGGGCUUGAGUACAGGAGAGGAAAGCGGAAUUCCUAGUGUAGCGGUGAAAUGCGUAGAUAUUAGGAGGAACACCAGUGGCGAAGGCGGCUUUCUGGACUGAUACUGACGCUGAGGAACGAAAGCGUGGGGAGCAAACAGGAUUAGAUACCCUGGUAGU